rnacentral:tRNA from 1 species
UGCUGCCGUAGCUCAGUGGUAGAGCGCAUCCUUGGUAAGGCUGAGGUCGCGAGUUCAAUCCUCGCCGGCAGCACCAU